CGCGCAGGCGGUCUUGUCCGUCAGGUGUGAAAGCUCGGGGGCUCAACCCCGGAAGUGCACUUGAAACAGCAAGACUUGAAUACGGGAGAGGAGAGAGGAAUUCCUGGUGUAGAGGUGAAAUUCGUAGAUAUCAGGAGGAACACCGAUGGCGAAGGCAUCUCUCUGGACCGAUAUUGACGCUGAGGCGCGAAGGCGUGGGUAGCGAACG
rnacentral:rRNA from 1 species